UACGGAGGGUGCGAGCGUUGUCCGGAAUCACUGGGCGUAAAGGGCGCGUAGGUGGCCUGUGGAAGUCUGCGGUGAAAGCCCGGGGCUCAACCCCGGGUCGGCCGUGCGAACUGUCGAGCUGGAGCACUGUAGAGGCAGAUGGAAUUCCGGGUGUAGCGGUGGAAUGCGUAGAGAUCCGGAAGAACACCGGUGGCGAAGGCGGCCUGCUGGGCAGUGGCUGACGCUGAGGCGCGACAGCGUGGGGAGCAAACAGG
rnacentral:rRNA from 1 species